rnacentral:rRNA from 1 species
GACGAACGCUGGCGGCGUGCUUAACACAUGCAAGUCGAACGGAAAGGCCCUGCUUUUGUGGGGUGCUCGAGUGGCGAACGGGUGAGUAACACGUGAGUAACCUGCCCUUGACUUUGGGAUAACUUCAGGAAACUGGGGCUAAUACCGGAUAGGAGCUCCUGCUGCAUGGUGGGGGUUGGAAAGUUUCGGCGGUUGGGGAUGGACUCGCGGCUUAUCAGCUUGUUGGUGGGGUAGUGGCUUACCAAGGCUUUGACGGGUAGCCGGCCUGAGAGGGUGACCGGCCACAUUGGGACUGAAAUACGGCCCAGACUCCUACAGGAGGCAGCAGUGGGGAAUAUUGCACAAUGGGCGGAAGCCUGAUGCAGCAACGCCGCGUGCGGGAUGACGGCCUUCGGGUUGUAAACCGCUUUCGCCUGUGACGAAGCGUGAGUGACGGUAAUGGGUAAAGAAGCACCGGCUAACUACGUG